CUAUGUGCCAGCAGCCGCGGUAAUACAUAGGUCGCAAGCGUUAUCCGGAAUUAUUGGGCGUAAAGCGUUCGUAGGCUGUUUAUUAAGUCUGGAGUCAAAUCCCAGGGCUCAACCCUGGCUCGCUUUGGAUACUGGUAAACUAGAGUUAGAUAGAGGUAAGCGGAAUUCCAUGUGGAGCGGUGAAAUGCGUAGAUAUAUGGAAGAACACCAAAGGCGAAGGCAGCUUACUGGGUCUAUACUGACGCUGAGGGACGAAAGCGUGGGGAGCAAACAGGAUUAGAUACCCUGGUAGUCCACGCUGUAAACGAU
rnacentral:ncRNA from 1 species